ACGAACGCUGGCGGCAUGCCUAACACAUGCAAGUCGAACGCGACCUUCGGGUCUAGUGGCGCACGGGUGCGUAACGCGUGGGAACCUGCCCUUAGGUUCGGAAUAACUCCCCGAAAGGGGUGCUAAUACCGGAUAAUGUCUUCGGACCAAAGAUUUAUCGCCUUUGGAUGGGCCCGCGUUGGAUUAGCUAGUUGGUAGGGUAAAAGCCUACCAAGGCGACGAUCCAUAGCUGGUCUGAGAGGAUGAUCAGCCACACUGGGACUGAGACGCGGCCCAGACUCCUACGGGAGGCAGCAGUGGGGAAUAUUGGACAAUGGGCGAAAGCCUGAUCCAGCAAUGCCGCGUGAGUGAUGAAGGCCUUAGGGUUGUAAAGCUCUUUUACCCGGGAUGAUAAUGACAGUACCGGGAGAAUAAGCUCCGGCUAACUCCGUG
rnacentral:rRNA from 1 species